rnacentral:rRNA from 1 species
AGUCAAACUAAUAAAGGAUUAAUUUUACUUUUAAAUCCACCUUCAUUAUACUCAAUAACAGUAUAAAUUCGUGUAAAUAAAUUUAUUGUAACCCAUCUCUACUUAUUUAUAAAUUGCACCUUGACCUGACAUAUUAUAAUUUGUAUUACUCGGAUAUUACCUCUAAAAAGAUACCCUGAUGACGGAGGUAUACAAAAUGAAUACAAAAAUAAGUAAUUACCUAUCGUGGAUUAUCAAUUACAGGACAGGUUCCUCUAAAAAGAAUAAAAUACCGCCAAAUUCUUUGGGUUUCAAGAACAUAACAUAUACUACCCAGGUUAAUAUU